UCUGAAAUUGUAUUUUCUGUUACAGGGUUCUAGACCUCUGCAGGAAUGUAAAAGAAAGAAUAGUAAGAGAAUGCAAAGAAAAAGGUGUCCAGUUUGCACCCCUUUCCACCUGCAGGGUGACACAGACUUAUGAUGCAGGAGCAUGCGUCUAUUUCUAUUUUGCCUUUAACUACAGAGGAAUCGGUGAGCCUCUUCAUGUCUAUGAACAAGUUGAGACAGCUGCUAGAGAGGAAAUUCUUGCAAAUGGAGGAAGCUUGUCACAUCACCAUGGAGUGGGGAAAUUGCGGAAACAGUGGAUGAAGGAGACUAUCUCUGAUGUUGGAUUGGGAAUGCUUAGGUCUGUCAAAGAAUACGUGGACCCUAAUAAUAUCUUUGGAAACAGAAACCUUUUAUAAAACCACUUAAGGUCUGAUGUACUAAAUUUAAAAAUGACUGUCAAAAUUCCUUUUAAACAUUUUCAUUGUAUUGGUAUCCCAGUAAUCAAAUAUAACAUGGACUAAACUAUAAAAGCUAGUAUUUUUCUUACUUUUAUUUUCCUCCAGUAAAAUGUAAAUGUUCAUUGUUUAAUGUUUACAGAUUUACUUAUGCUCCUAAACCUCUCAACAGGCAUCCAAACAGAGUUGUAUCAAGGUAUUUUAUCAGCCUGGAAAUGCAGAUUUGGCAUUUCAGGUUGGGUUAGGCAGCACAGCUGAUGAUCGUAGUUUCCAUGUUGGAUUCAGCCAGCUGUUUUUUUUACUAAGCCAUCCCCUACAAGGCGAACAAAGACUGACACCAGUGGUUUCUACAGAAGCAGCUGCUCACCCAGCCUCUUCCUAGAGGAAAGCUGCUAGGAAACAGAUGAGAGGUGGAUUACAUCAAGGAAUGCUUCUGUGUGCUGAAAGGUUAAGUGUGUAGCAGAUCCAGAAAUGUGUAAAAGAAUAAACGCAGGCUUUGUUUAGAAGAUUAGCAUGCUUCUAUAGAAUAUGUGGCUUGCCAGUCUCCUGUUCAGCAUCAAUGAAAACUAUGAAAUCUUUGAGAACUCUUCUUGUUGUCUGAGUUUUAUAUUUGUAUUGCUGGGAUAAUCUUUAAUAUAUCCUAGAUAGUUGUAAGUUUUGUACAGAACAGCAGACAUUUUUCACUGUAUGUUACAAACAGGUUUGUUUAUAUAAAUUUGCCUUCAUCACUGCAAUCCUAAUGUGUCUGGUUUCACUUCCUUAUUUUUGCAGAGAUGUGGAACAAACCCUUUUCCAAUAGAAAACAUGUUUUGGUUAUUUUAAAAUAAAAGUUUUCCCAGCACCAUGUCAUUUGAAGUGGUCUCAACAGUUUUAUUAGAGUAAAAUGGAAGAUAUACUGUUAUCUUAAAAUGAAGUUUCCAGUUUUAAUAUUCUGUAACUUCUUAUGGCCUUUUUGAAUUAUUGGUUUACUUGAAGAGUAACUACAGAUAUAAUCAGCGUAAUCAACAUACACAACUUUUCUUAAUCAGUCAGUGCAACUAUCAGUCAGUCACUAAACAUUUUUACAUUGAAACCUAGAUCUUGAAAUUAGCAAAAUGAAAACUUAAACUAUUUGCUGUCAAUAUUCAAGACUCAUGUUUUAAGUGCAUUCUUUUCUUAAACUUGCCAAGUUUUUGAUAUCUAAAAGACAGUAUAGAAUCAUGUAGUAAUAUAAAAUACCAUUUUUUUUUUCCUUUAAGAGGACAUACUGACUCUUUAGUUAACUAACUUUACAACUCUGAGCAAUUUGGACUCCUUUUUAUAUCUGUAAUAAACUAAGGAAAGUUUAACACUGUUUCAAAAUACCAUCUAAUUAUCUGUCAAAUUUUAGUAACAAAACAUUGAAGAUUAUAAUCUAUAUGAUUAAAAAAUAUAGUGUUGAACCAAAAAGUUGAUACUGUUUUAAAACUGAUUUAGGCUAUCUAAUUAAAAAUAAUCUAAAAGAUCAUGAAUACUCAACAGCACUUUAAACUGUAUGAACUCAAGAUUAUACCAAAUUAAAACAACACAAAUAUGUCCAUAGGUCACGAAAUGGGAAGUAAUUAUAUUUUAAUGCAGCUAGAGGGUCUUUUUUAAUGGACUUUGUUUCAUGUAAUUUAUGUAGAGAAAAAAAAAGUGAAUCUAGUCUCCUGAAUCUUAUUUUUAAAGUUUUGGCCCAUGGAGUUCAUAUUUCAGCAGUACUCAAAUUUGUAUUCAGUUCUAGGAAAUUCUGAUUUUCAGCACUGUAUGUGGCUAAGUGUUCCUUAUUCAAUAUCUAUACCAGGUACUUGUCAACAAAGUGAAUUUGUAGAGCAGUGGUUUUCAACCUGUGGUCUGUAGACCCCUGGGGGUACUCAGACUGUCAAAGGGGUCUGUGAGAGAUGACUAUGAUCAAUUAAAAGUAUGUGAAUACUCACACUUACAAAAGGGCCUGCAUCUCCAUUUGAAAUUUUUUAGGAGUCUGUUACUGAAAAACGGUUAAAAACCACUGCUGUAAAAGGGUGUGUGGGUGUGUCUGUGUGUAUGUAUUUAAUGCAGAAGGUUUCUCAACUUCGCAUGCUAUACCAAUGGUGAUUACAUGCUGGCAGCCAGAAUCCUGCUGACUGUUAGUGUCACUCUGAAAUGCAUUAAAAGUCAGUAAUAUGAAAGGGUUUUUUUUCUUAUGUGCCUGAAUAUAAGCAUAGCUUGUCUAGCUAUGAAGAAUCAUAACUCUGAAGGAAUGUGUGCAGAUAGUUGAAAAAUUGCUUCUUGUAUGUGGUAUGUGACAGCACAUGCAGGAUUAAAGCAACAAGGAUUUGGCUUCCUCAUGGUCAUUUUGAGCUCAGUAUGAGCUAGUGUACUCUUUUUUUUUCCCCAAAAAACCUUUUGGCUCAUUUUGAAUGAAAGUACUACUGUUUUCCCUCCGAGAGCUACCUUUCUAACCCAUGUUGCCCAUCUUUUCUAAUGUUGAUAAGUUACACAGAUAACUUUUUUUUCAAUGUGGCUGCCAAGAAAUAAAACCAAGUGACUUGGAAAGUGGAUGUUAUGAAGUAAAAGCUCACAAACCACACAAGUUAGUUAUGUCUGAUUUAAUAUGAUGAAAUAACAAAGGCUCUGGUGUGCAAAUAUAGCAAUGGAUAGGCCUGAGAAGGACAAAAUAGAACUUUAAUGUGAGCACUUAAUAAUAACUACCCCUUGGUACAACUAUAUUUUACUUUCUUCUCUCUGAUUUUUCUUUCUUCUGAAUGGUUUUUUGAGUUAUUCAAAGCUUAAUAAACCCUGGCACCUCUAAAGAAUACAUGACCUGCGUAAUAGCUCAAAAGGUGAGAGAAUGAGCUAAAUACUUACCUUUGAUCUUGUAUUUAGUACACCUACAGGAAACGAUUACAAAAGGGAUGAAUUUCCCUCUCAAAACAAACCUUUUAUUUGUUCCCUAUAUUUAAUACUAAAAUAAGUCUUCUGACAUGCUUCCCUCUUCUCUCUGCUUUUUUCACAUAGGCUUUAUUUGUUAUAGUCACAGUCUAUUCAGAGGUUGAGCUUGGUCUAUAAAGAUCAGGUGUCUGUCUUGGAAGGGGCAUAUUAAUUGGCUUUUCAUUUUGUGGAGUACUAUGGCCAUAUUUUGGUUCAAUACAAGAGGUUUUAACUAACUUUGUUAUUACUUGCAUUUUUAAAUGAAUAAAAAGCUGCUAUUUUUCUUCUGCUUUUCAGUAAGCUUUCAAGGCUAGAGAAUAAGGAUGUUGACUGUUACAUCUAUUUAAUUAAAAAAUUUUGUUUGCUCUUGCAAAACCUUGGGUGGAAUGUCAUUACACAGAACUUUUUAGGAAGUAACACAAAGGUUUACAACUUGAGAAGCCAGAAGAAACAGCAGUUCUUUGUGGCUUUGUCUAUACUGUGGUUAUUACUGCUAAGGAUAGGUUGCAUAUAGAGAUGUCACCUUUCUCUUAAAACUAUGAACAGAGACCAAGCUAAAUGGUUCAUCCGUACAAAUAUUUAUUAACUGAAACCAACUUAACAAAAGAGGCAGGGAUGCAUUAGCACUGAAUUCCAGAAAAUGUAAGCUGUUUUUCUCAGUCUUGGAAAUUUGUAACUAUAUCAAGGUUGUAAUUCAACUUUCUGCUAAUUAAGCCAAAUGGUGUUUGUCAUUUAGUGUGAGAUUAACUGUAAAACUGAACUGCAGUUGUAAUGUUAAGAGAUUAUAGAAACUUAUAUUAAUAAUAAAAAGAAAAUGGGCCUAAACAA